CCCUUAGAUGUCCUGGGCCGCACGCGCGUUACACUGAUGCAUUCAACGAGCUUAUAACCUUGGCCGAGAGGCCUGGGCAAUCUUGUUAACGUGCAUCGUGAUAGGGAUAGAUUAUUGAAAUUAUUAAUCUUGAACGAGGAAUUCCUAGUAAACGCAGAUCAUCAAUCUGCAUUGAUUACGUCCCUGCCCUUUGUACACACCGCCCGUCGCACCUACCGAUUGGAUGGUUUAGUGAGAUCUUCGGAUUGGCGCCACUGCGGCUCAGCAAUGGGCUCGGUGGAUGCCGAAAAGUUGAUCAAACUUGAUCAUUUAGAGGAAGUAAAAGUCGUAACA
rnacentral:rRNA from 1 species